rnacentral:tRNA from 1 species
CGGGGCGUAGCGCAGUCUGGCAGCGCGCCACGUUCGGGACGUGGAGGUCCUGGGUUCAAAUCCCAGCGCCCCGACCA